CAGGCCACUGCUCUUGCAAAACCUUAGCUGCAGAACCCACAUGUGGCUCCUCAGAGGUGAGUCCACCAUCCCACGGAUGCUGCCUGCCUCUUAAUGGCCGCUGUCAAGUCCAUCUGAUGUUCAUUGGCAAAGUCCUGUGGAUAAACUCCCCAAAAAUCCUCAGCUCUAUGAUGUGGUCGUCGUUUGACACACUGCCUUAAGUGUAUGUUCUUUGAUGACACAGUACUACUUAUUAAGACGAAUUUACUGUCUAAGUCGCAGGCAAGCAUUUCACUAUGAGUGAUACCUGGUCACAUGAAGAACCAGAAGAGUCAUAAUGAAAUUCCUUUUCCCUUGUGGAAAAAUGGAUCCAAGGAUUCAACCAGCAAGUGGCGAAUCAAUGAAAAGCAGUGACAAGGGAUACCCAGAGGCCUCCUGGCACCUCCACCUGCGAGGGACUCACGAACAGCCUCAGACCGUCACGCCUGAGAGAAGCAACUCUCCUCCUUUGAUUUCUCAGUGCUUCUUUCAGUUCUAAGCUCCUGCCUCGCUUACAGAAAAUUUUCACUCCUAAUGAUCAGCCAUCAAAAAGGAGGAAAUAAUGUCUUCUGUAGCACCUUGGAUGGAACUGGAAGUCAUCCUCCUAAGUGAACUCACUCAGGAACAGAAAACCAAACACCGCACCUUCUUACUUAUAACCUAACUGAGGAUCCGCAAAGGCACCCAGGAUGGUAUAAUGGACACUGGAGACUCAGAAGGGGGGAGCGGGGGAAAAGGUGGGGGGGACACACAAAAAUCACCUCUAGCGUACAACGUGCACAGGUGAGGGUGGUGGGGACACUUAAAGCCCAGACUUCUUCUCUGCUGUACAAGACAUCUGUUUAACCAAGAAGGAUUUGUACCCCCUGAAACUAUUGAAAUAAAGAAAAAAGAGAUA